UUCCGGUUGAUCCCGCCAGAGGUUACUGCUAUCGGUGUUCGCCUAAGCCAUGCGAGUCAUAUGUAGCAAUACAUGGCGUACUGCUCAGUAACACGUGGAUAACCUGCCCUUGGGACCGGCAUAACCCCGGGAAACUGGGGAUAAUUCCGGAUAACGCAUAUUUGCUGGAAUGCUUUAUGCGUCAAAAGGAUUCGUCUGCCCAAGGAUGGGUCUGCGGCCUAUCAGGUAGUAGUGGGUGUAAUGUACCUACUAGCCAGCGACGGGUACGGGUUGUGAGAGCAAGAGCCCGGAGAUGGAUUCUGAGACAUGAAUCCAGGCCCUACGGGGCGCAGCAGGCGCGAAAACUUUACAAUGCGGGAAACCGUGAUAAGGGGACACCGAGUGCCAGCAUCAUAUGCUGGCUGUCCGGAUGUGUAAAAUACAUCCGUUAGCAAGGGCCGGGCAAGACCGGUGCCAGCCGCCGCGGUAACACCGGCGGCCCGAGUGGUGAUCGUGAUUAUUGGGUCUAAAGGGUCCGUAGCCGGUUUGGUCAGUCCUCCGGGAAAUCUGAUAGCUCAACUAUUAGGCUUUCGGGGGAUACUGCCAGACUUGGAACCGGGAGAGGUAAGAGGUACUACAGGGGUAGGAGUGAAAUCUUGUAAUCCCUGUGGGACCACCUGUGGCGAAGGCGUCUUACCAGAACGGGUUCGACGGUGAGGGACGAAAGCUGGGGGCACGAACCGGAUUAGAUACCCGGGUAGUCCCAGCCGUAAACGAUGCUCGCUAGGUGUCAGGCAUGGCGCGACCGUGUCUGGUGCCGCAGGGAAGCCGUGAAGCGAGCCACCUGGGAAGUACGGCCGCAAGGCUGAAACUUAAAGGAAUUGGCGGGGGAGCACAACAACGGGUGGAGCCUGCGGUUUAAUUGGAUUCAACGCCGGA
rnacentral:rRNA from 1 species